rnacentral:rRNA from 1 species
GAGCGAACGGACGAGAAGCUUGCUUCUCUGAUGUUAGCGGCGGACGGGUGAGUAACACGUGGAUAACCUACCUAUAAGACCGGGAUAACUUCGGGAAACCGGAGCUAAUACCGGAUAAUAUUUUGAACCGCAUGGUUCAAAAGUGAAAGACGGUCUUGCUGUCACUUAUAGAUGGAUCCGCGCUGCAUUAGCUAGUUGGUAAGGUAACGGCUUACCAAGGCAACGAUGCAUAGCCGACCUGAGAGGGUGAUCGGCCACACUGGAACUGAGACACGGUCCAGACUCCUACGGGAGGCAGCAGUAGGGAAUCUUCCGCAAUGGGCGAAAGCCUGACGGAGCAACGCCGCGUGAGUGAUGAAGGUCUUCGGAUCGUAAAACUCUGUUAUUAGGGAAGAACAUAUGUGUAAGUAACUGUGCACAUCUUGACGGUACCUAAUCAGAAAGCCACGGCUAACUACGUGCCAGCAGCCGCGGUAAUACGUAGGUGGCAAGCGUUAUCCGGAAUUAUUGGGCGUAAAGCGCGCAUAGGCGGUUUUUUAGGUCUGAUGUGAAAGCCCACGGCUCAACCGUGGAGGGUCAUUGGAAACUGGAAAACUUGAGUGCAGAAGAGGAAAGUGGAAUUCCAUGUGUAGCGGUGAAAUGCGCAGAGAUAUGGAGGAACACCAGUGGCGAAGGCGACUUUCUGGUCUGUAAC